rnacentral:rRNA from 1 species
AGUGAACGCUGGCGGUAUGCCUAACACAUGCAAGUCGAACGGCAGCACAGUAAGCUCUUGCUCUUACGGUUGGCGAGUGGCGGGUGGGUAACGCAUACAUCACCUACUUCUUUUUCUUGGAUAAUAACGUAGAACCACUGACGCUACUACCUCAUACUUCCUACGGCUUAAAUCAGGAGUGCUUCAUACCUUUCGCGUUUCUUUUAGCCGGUGUCGGAUUAGCUAGUUGGCUUGGUAAGGUCCCACCAAGGCGACGAUACGUAGCUGGUCUGAGAGGAUGAUCAGCCACACUGGAACUGAGACACGGUCCAGACUCCUACGGGAGGCAGCAGUGGGGAAUAUUGGACAAUGGGCGAAAGCCUGACCCAGCAACACCGCGUGAGUGAAGAAGGCCUUCGGAUUGUAAAGCCCUUUUGUUGGGAAAGAAAAGCAGUGGAAGAAAACGCGGACGUCCUGACGGUACCCAAAGAGAAAGCAACGGCUAACUUCGUG